GGCGGACGGGUGAGUAAUGCCUAGGAAUCUGCCUGGUAGUGGGGGACAACGUUUCGAAAGGAACGCUAAUACCGCAUACGUCCUACGGGAGAAAGCAGGGGACCUUCGGGCCUUGCGCUAUCAGAUGAGCCUAGGUCGGAUUAGCUAGUUGGUGAGGUAAAGGCUCACCAAGGCGACGAUCCGUAACUGGUCUGAGAGGAUGAUCAGUCACACUGGAACUGAGACACGGUCCAGACUCCUACGGGAGGCAGCAGUGGGGAAUAUUGGACAAUGGGCGAAAGCCUGAUCCAGCCAUGCCGCGUGUGUGAAGAAGGUCUUCGGAUUGUAAAGCACUUUAAGUUGGGAGGAAGGGCAGUAAGUUAAUACCUUGCUGUUUUGACGUUACCGACAGAAUAAGCACCGGCUAACUUCGUGCCAGCAGCCGCGGUAAUACGAAGGGUGCAAGCGUUAAUCGGAAUUACUGGGCGUAAAGCGCGCGUAGGUGGUUCAGCAAGUUGGAUGUGAAAGCCCCGGGCUCAACCUGGGAACUGCAUC
rnacentral:rRNA from 1 species